rnacentral:rRNA from 1 species
CCUACGGGUGGCAGCCGUGGGGAAUAUUGCACAAUGGGGGCAACCCUGAUGCAGCGACGCCGCGUGAGUGAAGAAGUAUUUCGGUAUGUAAAGCUCUAUCAGCAGGGAAGAAAAUGACGGUACCUGUGUAAGAGGCGCCGGCUAACUACGUGACAGCAGCCGCGGUAAUACGCAGGGGGCAAGCGUUAUCCGGAUUUACUGGGGGUAAAGGGAGCGUGGGCGGCAAGGUAAGCCAGAAGUGAACGCCCCGGGUUAAACUGCGUGAUUGCUUUUGGAGCUAGCUAGCUAGAUUGCAGGAGAGGGAAGUGGAAUUCCUAGUGUAGCGGUGAAAUGCGUAGAUAUUAGGAGGAACACCAGUGGCGAAGGCGGCUUACUGGACUGUAAAUGACGCUGAGGCUCGAAAGCGUGGGGAGCAAACAGGAUUAGAUACCCGGGUAGUC